rnacentral:lncRNA from 1 species
UAAAACUUUUUAAUAGUUUAUAAUAAUUUUAUCAUAGAAAAAAUAAAUAUAAUAGAAUUAAUAUAUAAGUCUUUCUACAACAAAGAUAGAUGAGACAUGUCUCUUUAAGCAAACAUUUAUGACGGCAUAAUCGCUGCAUGUAUUUUUUCCUCAACAAAUGACAUCAUUUUUCAGUCCGUUGAUUAUUAAGCGGGCGAAUUCAAACCUUGCCAUGGGCUAUUUACAUCAAAGGAUGACAGGCUAUUCAGAAUGGAAUCCACAGCAUGAGUUCAGACCAUCUGAACCCAUGCUGUCGAUACUCCAAGGAAUGGUACCCGGAUUUGAACCUAAGUCCUUUAUAAGCAAAGCCGUAAUGUUUCCAGAUAAUCGAUCUGGCCAAAACAAAGUCGGACUAAAUUAAAAUAUUCAUUUACUUUCAUGCCGUCAUAAUGGAUUCGCCAUUUUCAAUUCGAAAAACUAUCAUUAAGUUCCUAUUCUAUAAAAAAUCCUUCAUAUAAUGAUUUUCAUUAAAAUAGGACUAAUAUUAAAAAUUCAUCAAAUUUUGGGACCGUCACUUGUGCGACCUCUUUAUGAAUAUAAAUUUUUCAAUCAAUAUGUGAAAGGAUAUUUUUUCAGCAUGAACAGUUGAAUGGUAGAGCACUUACAAUUUUUCAAGCAUUAAAUAAACAUCGGAAAAUUAUCUUACCCUCUUUUCUACUCUUUUUGGGAAGGAAUUUCGAGUUGCAAUAUUUUUUCGAAACAAUUCAGAGGCUCCUUUAUAACAUCUCUAAAUUUCAGCUUUCUAGAUCAUAGGGAAGUAUUUAAAUUCUUGCUGACAUACAUUCGUACAUACAGGAUCCUUAACC